GAGUCCGGAGAAGGAGACGUAGCUCAACUAAAGUGUGGGUUGAAGUGUUGAACGACGACGACCACGAUGAUUUGUAAUGUUGUGUGUGCAGUUGACUACGGGUUUAACCUUCGGAAAUAAAACGGUAGAACAAUACUAGUAAAAAACAAAAUAAAUAAAAAAUACGAAGAAAGAUAGAAAAGGUACGACGCAAAAUGAAAAACGAAAAUCUGAAAUAGGACAAUAGAACAAGAAAACCAAUAAAAGCAACUGAAAAAACACAGAAGGAACAUG
rnacentral:lncRNA from 1 species